UUAAGAUAGAGGAGCAAAAUUAAAGAGUAUUAUUAUGGAGAUAAGCACGAUGAAGUAAUAAGAAAGGGAAUUUUGCCGAAGUUAAUAGUGUAUGCUUUAAGGCUAUUGGCUGGUUUUAUAUAGAAUAUAUAUAAAACUGUCACAAAAUAUUUUGUGGAGGGCUAUUAC
rnacentral:ncRNA from 1 species